AUACGUAGGGUGCAAGCGUUAAUCGGAAUUACUGGGCGUAAAGCGUGCGCAGGCGGUUUUGUAAGACAGAGGUGAAAUCCCCGGGCUCAACUUGGGAACUGCCUUUGUGACUGCAAGGCUAGAGUACGGCAGAGGGGGAUGGAAUUCCCGGGGUAGCGGGGAAAUGGGUAGAUAUGCGGAGGAACACCGAUGGCGAAGGCAAUCCCCUGGGCGUGUACGGAGGCUCAUGCACGAAAGCGUGGGGAGCAAACAGGAUUAGAUACCCUGGUAGUCCACGCCCUAAACGAUGUCAACUGGUUGUUGGGUCUUCAUUGACUCAGUAACGAAGCUAACGCGUGAAGUUGACCGCCUGGGGAGUACGGCCGCAAGGUUGAAACUCCAAGGAAUUGACGGGG
rnacentral:rRNA from 1 species